rnacentral:rRNA from 1 species
GUAGCACAAUCACUUGUCCCUUAAAUGAGGACGCGUAUGAAAGGCAACAUGAGAGAACACCUGUCUCCUAAGGAAUGCCAAUGAAAUUGAACUACCAGUUCAAAAGCUGGUAUAAAAAAGCAAGACAAAAAGACCCUGUGGAACUUUAAUUAACUGCUUUACAUAACAAAACCAGUAAUUUCAGUUGGGACAACUUUAGAAAAAAUAAACUUCCUAAUUUUACUAGACUAACUAGUCCAAACAUCAUGACCCAGUAACACUGAUUAACGAAACAAGCUACCCCAGGGAUAACAGCGCCACCUUCUCAAAGAGUCCAUAUCAACAAGAAGAUCUACGACCUCGAUGUUGGAUCAGGGUACCCCGACGGUGCAGCAGCUGUCAAUGGUUCGUUUGUUCAACGAUUAAAACCCU